rnacentral:rRNA from 1 species
GAUGAACGCUGGCGGCGUGCCUAAUACAUGCAAGUCGAGCGAACGGACGAGAAGCUUGCUUCUCUGAUGUUAGCGGCGGACGGGUGAGUAGCACGUGGAUAACCUACCUAUAAGACUGGGAUAACUUCGGGAAACCGGAGCUAAUACCGGAUAAUAUUUUGAACCGCAUGGUUCAAAAGUGAAAGACGGUCUUGCUGUCACUUAUAGAUGGAUCCGCGCUGCAUUAGCUAGUUGGUAAGGUAACGGCUUACCAAGGCAACGAUGCAUAGCCGACCUGAGAGGGUGAUCAGCCACACUGGAACUGAGACACGGUCCAGACUCCUACGGGAGGCAGCAGUAGGGAAUCUUCCGCAAUGGGCGAAAGCCUGACGGAGCAACGCCGCGUGAGUGAUGAAGGUCCUCGGAUCGUAAAACUCUGUUAUUAGGGAAGAACAUAUGUGUAAGUAACUGUGCACAUCUUGACGGUACCUAAUCAGAAAGCCACGGCUAACUACGUG